GUGAGGAAUAUUGCGCAAUGGAGGCAACUCUGACGCAGCCAUGCCGCGUGCAGGAAGAAGGCGCUACGCGUUGUAAACUGCUUUUAACCGGGAAGAAACCCCAGGACGUGUCCUGGGUUGACGGUAUCGGAGGAAUAAGCACCGGCUAACUUCGUGCCAGCAGCCGCGGUAAUACGAAGGGUGCAAGCGUUAUCCGGAUUCAUUGGGUUUAAAGGGUGCGUAGGCGGAGCGUUAAGUCAGUGGUGAAAUCCUGCAGCUUAACUGUAGACUUGCCAUUGAUACUGGCGCUCUUGAGUGCGCUUGAAGUGGGCGGCAUGGGCCGUGUAGCGGUGAAAUGCUUAGAUAUGGCACAGAACACCAAUUGCGAAGGCAGCUCACUAAGGCGAUACUGACGCUGAGGCACGAAAGCGUGGGGAUCGAACAGGAUUAGAAACCCUGGUAGUCC
rnacentral:rRNA from 1 species